GUUUAGAAUACCCUGUUGGUGGAACUGGAGCACUUGUUGAGGCUCUUGUUCUCAGAUUUUCCUUCUGAUAAACUUCCAAAAAUGUCAGAACCUUCACAACUUAUGACAGAAAAUACACGUUCUGAUCUUUAUGUUGCACUCCCUGUUCUCAGUCAAGGAAAGAAAUGGGUCUUACUAUACAGUACAUGGAGGCAUGGCAUAUCUCUUUCAACCUUAUAUAGAAGAAGCAAUCUUUGCCCUGGGUUAAGUCUACUGGUUGUUGGAGAUCGUAAAGGUGCAGUGUUUGGCGGUUUAGUUGAGGC